UACGUAGGGGGCAAGCGUUAUCCGGAAUCACUGGGCGUAAAGCGUCUGUAGGUGGUGAUGCAAGUCACUGGUGCAAAACUCUGGCUCAACCGGAGGAAAGCCAGUGAAACUGCAUGACUAGAGUGUGGGAGAGGUAGAAGGAAUUCCCUGAGUAGCGGUGAAAUGCGUAGAUACAGGGAAGAACACCGGAGGCGAAAGCGUUCUACUGGAACACAUCUGACACUGAGAGACGAAAGCUAGGUGAGCGAAUGGG
rnacentral:rRNA from 1 species